rnacentral:rRNA from 1 species
GGGGAAUAUUGCACAAUGGGGGAAACCCUGAUGCAGCGACGCCGCGUGAGUGAAGAAGUAUUUCGGUAUGUAAAGCUCUAUCAGCAGGGAAGAAAAUGACGGUACCUGACUAAGAAGCCCCGGCUAACUACGUGCCAGCAGCCGCGGUAAUACGUAGGGGGCAAGCGUUAUCCGGAUUUACUGGGUGUAAAGGGAGCGUAGGUGGUUCGGCAAGUCAGAUGUGAAAGCCCGGGGCUCAACCCCGGGACUGCAUUUGAAACUGUCGUACUAGAGUGCAGGAGAGGUAAGUGGAAUUCCUAGUGUAGCGGUGAAAUGCGUAGAUAUUAGGAGGAACACCAGUGGCGAAGGCGGCUUACUGGACUGUAACUGACACUGAGGCUCGAAAGCGUGGGGAGCAAAC